rfam:Bizionia argentinensis JTB59 contig00014, whole genome shotgun sequence.
UAUAUUUGCAGCUUGAAAGAAAAUCUUUCAUCAUGUACUCAAUUUAAUUGGGUAAUACAUAACAAUCAUUUACAAUAAUAUUAGAAUG